CUUUGGGAAGCUUCUUCCAAGCGGGACUAUGGCAUGCCGUCGCUGAGAUCACUGAAUGUAUGAAACUAAAUCUCAUAGACAGGGAACUGGCGAUCAUACCAGGCGAGUGGCCAUUUUUGCAAGAGUGACAUCAAGAGGUACAGCUGUAUCGGUGGCCUGGUACUUUCAGCAACUUGCGGUCCUCCACAAUGUGCAUUCCUAUUAUUGUUAUGCAGCUGUUUAUUUCAUGUAAUAUGCCUGAUUCACAAGCAGGUGGCAACGAAAAUGGCAGACCUGUAUGUAGAUAGAGUGGAACCUUCCAUUUUAUUCUAACACCCCUCUGUGGAGAAGUGGGCUAGUCCCACUUCCUGCAGGAAGGGUGGGGACCAGUUUCUAGUUAGUCUAGUUUACCCCCUGCUAGGGGAAGGUAUGCAGGGCACGUCUCUGCUGGACGUGUCCAAGCCAGCCAGAGCACCCUCAGCUCUGCUGGCCAUUGAGGCCAAAGCUUAAAGUGUCAGGAGCCAGGAGUAAAGUUCCCUGGCCUAAUCUAGAGACAGACCAUACAGAGAGAAAGUGCAGCAUUCAAUAAAAAGCAAAGUCAUACAGUCAGCAAGUCAGCACAGCAGAGCUAGAGAGAAACAGAUGUAGCAUAGUUGAGUUUGCCUGCCAGUUUCAUGCUAAAGCCUGCUUGGGACCAAGACAAAGCUUGAAGAUUGUUUCUGAUGAAUGUUUAUUGAAGGUAAAGCUGCUGUUCAACUACAUACGAGGUCUGGACUACAUUUUUCUGUCAAAUCCCUUAAUUAUUCCCCCUAUUUACUGCUUUAGAGCCAAAGCCUGGGGUCCAACCGUAUCCAGGUAGGAGCACUGUGACACACAUAAAGGAACAUUUUAGGCCGCACUAUACCACUCGGCAUUCCUAGAUCUGGUACACGUUUUUAUAUAGAAGGCCCUAGGGGGAGGCCGCCCAUUGCAACUGCAUAUCCUAACAAUAUAGCCUGUGUCCCAUUUACUGGUCAUAGACCUUGUAAAGUACCAAUGGCCAUAAAUGGGGCUGUUGCUAUCAGUCUCUGAUCGUCACACCUGGGAUUUUUUGGCACUCAUCUCCAGUGUUAUUUCCCAAACUUAAAGGGGUGUUCCCAGUUCAAACAUUGAUGGUAUUUCGCUAGGAUAUUCAAUCAAUGUCAGGUGCGGGUAUCACCCAGGGGUGCACCUCCAAUGAGGCCAGGUGAGGCGACUGCCUCAGUCGGCGAAAAAAACUGGAAACAAGUGGGGGCGAAGGCGGAGCCAUGGGAAAUGAGCGCUUCCAUUGUGGAAGUGCUCAUCUCUCUAUAGUCAACUGUAUGACAGUAUACCUUUAACAGUAUGGCUGGAGGAAGGUGCCAUUUCAAUUUUCACCUCAGGCAGCAGAAAGGCUAGGUGCACCCGUGGUACCACCUCUGGGACCUGCUCCUAUCUCCAGAACGAGGCCCCUAAAGUGAAGAAGAGCGCACGCUGCACAUGCACUGCCACCUCUCCAUUCACCGCUAUGGGACUGCCAGAAGUAACUGAGCCAGGACUCGGCUAUCUUCAGGCCUGCCAUAGCAGUGAAUGCAGGGUGACCACGCAUGCAUGGCUUCUGUCUGUUCCCUUCGGGUGUCCCGUUUUGAAGAUGUGGGUCCCACACCUAUCUGACAUUGAUGGCAUAUCUUAGCGACAUGUCAUAAAUGUCUCCAGCGUUGGACUGGCCCACCCGAGAACCAGAGGGUCCUGCGGUGGGUCCAGGCUCUUAUACCAUAGGGGGCCCCAACGGUCCUAAGAAAAAAAAAAUUGUAGGGGCCUUUGGAGGCAAUAAAUUGCCACCAGGGAUAUUUCUUUGAAUCAAAAUCUAUUAGACUUUAUUGAUGAUAUGGAGGUUGGGCCCCGAGAAAUAUUUUCUUUGGUGGGUCCAAGGAACCGCAGUCUGACGAUUCUGAUCCUGUAUAAAGGGCGUUGUGCACACCUGUCCUGUCUAAGCGUUCCUGGAUAGCAUUUCGAUGAGUACGCGUGUAACCCCCUCCUCAGACAAAGACCUCCACACAUGCUGCACUGCCCGGUAGUGAACGGGUGAUGCUGUAUAAACCUCAGCUUGUUCCCCUGCCUACAUUCCAUGUUUGUCCAGAAAACAGGGUGGGAACACAUGACCCCAAAAAACCUUGCAGGGAGGAGAUCCACACAUGGGCUGCCAGAACAGACAGGAAACAGGUAAUGGAGGGAAGGAAUCGGGUGCGCUGCCAAGAAAGGAGGAGCACAGGAUUUCCCCCCCCCCCUUUGCUUCUGGGAUAAAAUUGAAACCAAAUAAUUUGCAGCCAGAAGUCAGACACAAAGGAUACGGCUGUGAAUGCAGGAACAGAGGGCUGAUUGUGCUCAGCUGCUCCUCAGCCUGAAAGGAGGGGGCCAUGGAGUCAAAGCCGCCGCUGUUGAAACGAUAAAAGAAGAAAAAACUUCUAAUAAGGAAACUUUUCUUCGCCUCGUUUUGAAAAAAAAAAUAUUGCAGAAACAAUAUAAUGUUUUUAUUAUAUUUUAUCAUUCUGUUUCAAAAUAUCUAUUUUAUGUUUCAUUUAUUAUUGCGCACUCAUUGAAUUUUAUGUUAGGAUUUCCUGACAUGUCUCCUUCACAAAAUACUUGUAUUCCCCAGUUCUGGAGCAUCGUUUAUUAGA